rnacentral:rRNA from 1 species
GACGAACGCUGGCGGCGUGCUUAACACAUGCAAGUCGAGCGGAAAGGCCCUUUCGGGGUACUCGAGCGGCGAACGGGUGAGUAACACGUGAGUAAUCUGCCCUUGGCUUCGGGAUAGCCACCGGAAACGGUGAUUAAUACCGGAUACGACACAUCACUGCAUGGUGCGUGUGUGGAAAGUUUUUUCGGCCAGGGAUGUGCUCGCGGCCUAUCAGCUUGUUGGUGGGGUAAUGGCCUACCAAGGCUUCGACGGGUAGCCGGCCUGAGAGGGUGACCGGCCACACUGGGACUGAGACACGGCCCAGACUCCUACGGGAGGCAGCAGUGGGGAAUAUUGGACAAUGGGCGGAAGCCUGAUCCAGCAACGCCGCGUGAGGGAUGACGGCCUUCGGGUUGUAAACCUCUUUCAGCACAGACGAAGCGCAAGUGACGGUAUGUGCAGAAGAAGGACCGGCCAACUACGUGCCAGCCGCCGCCGUAAGAC